UCUGGGUAAUAACCUGCCUUACCCCAUAAUCACACAGUAUACAGAGCGCCCCCUGCAGCCAGGGAUUCUGGGUAAUAACCCGCCUUACCCCAUAAUCACACAGUAUACAGAGCUCCCCCUGCAGCCAGGGAUUCUGGGUAAUAACCCGCCUUACCCCAUAAUCACACAGUAUACAGAGCGCCCCCUGCAGCCAGGGAUUCU